rnacentral:rRNA from 1 species
AACGAACGCUGGCGGCAGGCUUAACACAUGCAAGUCGAACGCCCCGCAAGGGGAGUGGCGCACGGGUGAGUAACGCGUGGGAAUAUGCCCUUCGGUUCGGAAUAACACAGGGAAACUUGUGCUAAUACCGGAUACGAUCUACGGAUGAAAGAUUUAUCGCCGAGGGAGUAGCCCGCGUAGGAUUAGCUAGUUGGUGAGGUAAUGGCUCACCAAGGCGACGAUCCUUAGCUGGUCUGAGAGGAUGAUCAGCCACACUGGGACUGAGACACGGCCCAGACUCCUACGGGAGGCAGCAGUGGGGAAUAUUGGACAAUGGGCGAAAGCCUGAUCCAGCCAUGCCGCGUGAGUGAUGAAGGCCUUAGGGUUGUAAAGCUCUUUCGCCAGGGAAGAUAAUGACGGUACCUGGAAAGAAGCCUCGGCUAACUCCGUGCCAGCAGCCGCGGUAAU